UGGACCUGAUAUCAGGCAAGAUUACCCGCUGAACUUUAA
rnacentral:rRNA from 1 species